rnacentral:pre_miRNA from 7 species
AUUUAGAGACUGAGUUCUGAAAGACCCCCGAAGGGAGACCCUCACUCAAGCCUCGGGACAGCCGCGGACCCAAGAAGACACUGAGACCG